UACGGAGGGCGCGAGCGUUAAUCGGAAUUACUGGGCGUAAAGCGCGCGUAGGCUGUUGUGUAAGUUAGGGGUGAAAUCCCACGGCUCAACCGUGGAACAGCCCUUGAUACUGCGCGACUUGAAUCCGGGAGAGGGUGGCGGAAUUCCAGGUGUAGGAGUGAAAUCCGUAGAUAUCUGGAGGAACAUCAGUGGCGAAGGCGGCCACCUGGACCGGUAUUGACGCUGAGGCGCUAAAGCGUGGGGAGCAAACAGG
rnacentral:rRNA from 1 species